GUAUGUUCAGUGACACAUACCCUGAAACUGGAAAAAUACAGGGAAGACUGGCGGGACCCAUGCACAAGGAGGACAUGCAAGUCCAUGAAGUGUUCCACACUUUU